UGAAGCCCCAAGGUUGGCUUCAUGAGGCCCAGGGUCCAGGACGUCUCCUUUCCCAUGAAACUGUUCUGCUGAAGCACCUGGGGGGUGAGGGGGCUUCGUAUUCAUUCAUUCAUCCCACAUUCACUCACUCAUUCAUUCAUCCCAUAGUCACUCAUUCAUUCUUCCCACAUUCACUCAUUCAUUCAUCCCACAUUCACUCAUUCAUUCAUCCCACAUUCACUCACUCAUUCAGUCACUCGUUCAUUCAGCCCACAUUCACUCACUCAUUCAUUCAUCCCACAUUCACUCACUCAUUCAUCCAAAAUUCACUCAUUCAUUCAUUCAUCCCACGUUCACCCACCCACUCAUCCAUUCAUCUCACAUUCACUCACUCACUCUUUCGGCCCACAUUCACUCACUCAUUCAUCCCACAUUCACUCAGCCCACAUUCACUUACUCACACAUUCAUCACACAUUCACUCACUCAUUCGUCCCACCUUCACUCAGCCCACAUUCUCUCACUCACACAUUCAUCACACAUUCACUAGCUCAUUCAUUCAUCCCAUAUUCACUCACUCCACUCAUCCCACAUUCACUCACUCAUCCAUCCCACAUUCACUCACUCACUCUUUCGGCCCACAUUCACUCAUUCAUUCAUCCCACAUUCACUCAGCCCACAUUCUCUCACUCACACAUUCAUCACACAUUCACUAGCUCAUUCAUUCAUCCCAUAUUCACUCACUUUUCACUCAUCCCAC
rnacentral:lncRNA from 1 species